rnacentral:rRNA from 1 species
GAUGAACGCUGGCGGCGUGCUUAACACAUGCAAGUCAAGGGGGCCCAGCAAUGGGCAACCGGCGAACGGGUGCGUAACACGUGAGCAACCUACCCAGGUGUGGGGGAUAGCCGUCCCAACGGACGGGUAAUACCGCAUACGCUCUUCUUUAGGCAUUUAGAGGAGAGGAAACCUUCGGGGCACCAUGAGGGGCUCGCGGCCUAUCAGCUAGUUGGCGAGGUAAUGGCUCACCAAGGCAACGACGGGUAGCUGGUCUGAGAGGAUGGCCAGCCACAUUGGGACUGAGAAACGGCCCAGACUCCUACGGGAGGCAGCAGUGGGGAAUCUUGCGCAAUGGCCUAACGGCUGACGCAGCGACGCCGCGUGAGGGAUGACGCUCUUCGGAGUGUAAACCUCUUUUGCCUGGAACGAAUUGCGAGC